UACAGUGACAUAGUCAUGAGGUGAACCUAUGUGUGAAGCCUGCCACCCCCUGGUUUCUGUUGGGACGACAGAUGUCAGCGUCAGCUGCAGAAGAACACCCCUAGAAUUGGUCCUGUAUGCGGAGGAUGUUGGGUGAUUUGGCCACAUGUGCACGGAAGCGUUUAGAUUCCAUCCAGCCACGUCCUGUGCUACAGAGCGACAUGGAAGAAACAACCCUCGACACUGGCCUUGAAGUUGCCGUGACUGAUC